AGAGUUUGAUCCUGGCUCAGAUUGAACGCUGGCGGCAGGCCUAACACAUGCAAGUCGAACGGUAACAGGAAGCAGCUUGCUGCUUUGCUGACGAGUGGCGGACGGGUGAGUAAUGUCUGGGAAACUGCCCGAUGGAGGGGGAUAACUACUGGAAACGGUAGCUAAUACCGCAUAACGUCGCAAGACCAAAGAGGGGGACCUUCGGGCCUCUUGCCAUCGGAUGUGCCCAGAUGGGAUUAGCUAGUUGGUGAGGUAACGGCUCACCAAGGCGACGAUCCCUAGCUGGUCUGAGAGGAUGACCAGCCACACUGGAACUGAGACACGGUCCAGACUCCUACGGGAGGCAGCAGUGGGGAAUAUUGCACAAUGGGCGCAAGCCUGAUGCAGCCAUGCCGCGUGUAUGAAGAAGGCCUUCGGGUUGUAAAGUACUUUCAGCGGGGAGGAAGGGGAUGUGGUUAAUAACCGCAUCCAUUGACGUUACCCGCAGAAGAAGCACCGGCUAACUCCGUGCCAGCAGCCGGCGGUAAUA
rnacentral:rRNA from 1 species